AGAUCGGUGUCAUCGAUUGGUUGGUUGUUUGUUCGAUCGGUCGAUCGGUCGGUUGUUUGAUUGUUUGAUUGGUUGGUUCGUUGUUUGUGGGUGAUUUGGUUGGUCGGUGGGUUGGCGAGUCGCGUCGCGAGAAGAAAGCAAUAUCGGCGCUAUAAAUAUCUCGUUGUGGUACCUCGCGCGAAUCCGCUUGGCGAAAACUUGUUUGCCGUAGUAGCUCGAGGCGCGUGCGAAAAGCUCCGAUUGGUUGAUCAAAGAAAGAGAGAGAGAACCAUCUGACCAACCCCUCCUAGUUUUGUGUGCGCCGCACGCUCUUCAAAUAUCCCCCCUCCCCUUUCCUCGCGUUUGGUUUAGUUAGCGUAGUGUCUCUCGCGUUCGGCAGUUGUCGUCGUCGCGUUUCCGUGAACGAUUCGUUAAAUGAGACUCUAAAUUUAGCGCUGACCGUGGUGUCUUGUCAUGUCGUCGUCUUCGUCGUCGUCGUCGUCGUAUCACUGAAGAAAGAAAAAUAAAAUACCGUUCUUUGUGCUAUUGGUUUUUUCCCUCUACUUGUGUCUUUCUAAUAUAAUUUACUUAUACAAUAUUAUUAUUAAUUUACAUUUUCGAAAGUGAUCUUCUCAAUUUUGCUAUCCCCCCUAAAAAGGAACGUAGUGUCAAUUCACCACCGAGUCGUGUAUUGUAUAAUUUGUGAUACAUAUAUAUAUUUAUUCUCGACGAUAAUCAAAAUAAUAAAAAACAUGUUUAAGUGCGGGUACACGAGUGAUGGGGGGUUUAUUCGUUUCAUCGUCAGCGACACGUUUGCAGAGGAGGAGGAAUAUGUGAUGAAAUCAUUUUUCAAUCGUAUUCUUAUAUAUUGUGAUACACGUAUAAGUGGAAACAAACAAACAAAUAAAUAAAUAAAUAAAUAAA
rnacentral:lncRNA from 1 species